rnacentral:rRNA from 1 species
UGAGAGGAGCUGUCCUUAGUACGAGAGGACCGGGAUGGACGCACCGCUGGUGUACCAGUUGUUCUGCCAAGGGCAUAGCUGGGUAGCUAUGUGCGGAAGGGAUAAGUGCUGAAAGCAUC